GCGGUGCACGCCUGGGAGAAGGCGGCCCCGGUCAGCGGCGACGAGCUGCUCUGCCAGAUCGGCUUCGAGCUCGGCCGCUUCCAUUUCUUCCAGGCCCGGUACGGCGAGGCGGGCCGCUGUUUCGCCUGCCAGCCAGCGGCUGUACGAGAGCGCGCCGUGGCGGGAGACGUCCGAGUUUGUGUGCCUGAAGGCGGCAGAGCUGGCCGGCUACUGCCUGGCGGUGAACGGCGACCCGGGUCCGCCGCAGCAGCGCUCCCUCUACCACCGGCUGAGGCACAGCAUCGCCAACGGGUACCAGGACGUGGUGCAGGUGCUGCUGGAGGACAACGGGCGGCGCGAGGUGACCGCUCUCCACCCGCGACACGCUGGCGAGGGACGUAGCGGCGCUCAUCGCCCGUCGCGCCGACGGAGUGCCGCCGGAUCUGGCGCACAAGAUUGACAUUCUGAACUGCGUGCGCCGGGCGCUGGAGGGCCGUCCACCAGGUGAUGCAGCUCUCAGUCCUACCUCACCGCCGACCGGCGGCUGGAG